rnacentral:rRNA from 1 species
UACGGAGGGUGCGAGCGUUGUCCGGAAUCACUGGGCGUAAAGGGCGCGUAGGUGGCGCUCCAAGUCUGUGGUGAAAGCUCGACGCUCAACGUCGAGUCGGCCAUAGAGACUGGAGGGCUCGAGCACUGUAGGGGCAGAUGGAAUUCCGGGUGUAGCGGUGGAAUGCGUAGAGAUCCGGAAGAACACCGGUGGCGAAGGCGGUCUGCUGGGCAGUUGCUGACACUGAGGCGCGACAGCGUGGGGAGCAAACAGG